rnacentral:rRNA from 1 species
AUUGAACGCUGGCGGCAGGCUUAACACAUGCAAGUCGAGCGAGCGGCGGACGGGUGAGUAAUGUCUGGGAAACUGCCUGAUGGAGGGGGAUAACUACGGGAAACGGUAGCUAAUACCGCAUACCAUCAGAUGUGCCCAUAGGGGAUUAGCUAGUAGGGGGGGGAAUGGCCAACCUAGGCGACGAUCCCUAGCCGGUCUGAGAGGAUGACCAGCCACCCUGGAACUGAUGCACGGUCCAGACUCCUACAGGAGGCAGCAGUGGGGAAUAUUGCACAAUGGGCGCAAGCCUGAUGCAGCCAUGCCGCGUGUAUGAAGAAGGCCUUCGGGUUGUAAAGUACUUUCAGCGUAGAGGCGUUACUCGCAGAAGAAGCACCGGCUAACUCCGUGCCAGCCGCCGCGGUAAUAC